GACGAACGCUGGCGGCGUGCUUAACACAUGCAAGUCGAACGGAGCACCUUCGAAAGAGACUUCGGUCAAUGGAAAAGAAUGCUUAGUGGCGGACGGGUGAGUAACGCGUGAGGAACCUGCCUUUCAGUGGGGGACAACAGUUGGAAACGACUGCUAAUACCGCAUAACGUACGGGUAUCGCAUGGUAUCUGUACCAAAGAUUUAUCGCUGAGAGAUGGCCUCGCGUCUGAUUAGCUAGUUGGUAGGGUAACGGCCUACCAAGGCGACGAUCAGUAGCCGGACUGAGAGGUUGGCCGGCCACAUUGGGACUGAGAUACGGCCCAG
rnacentral:rRNA from 1 species